rnacentral:ncRNA from 1 species
GUGUUUUUAAAAGGAGAAGUUAGCAAUCCCUCUGACAAGGAUGGAAGGGGUCCUUAGGCCUAAUGACACAAAUAGGGUUAAGACAUCAGUUAAGGCAUCUCCACCUCUUUGAUUACAUCUGCCACCAUUUUAC